AUAAAGCGUGCAUAAGAUAUACUCACGAGACUUCAGUUGUGCGCAUUUAUGUCGCUGAAAAUCGUUUUUACUCGACGGUCGUCAAGAAACCACGCGACAUUCCAAGGACAACUAAGCUCAAAACCUAUCAUAAAAUGGUGAAGGCUACUACACAUGGACAUCACUGAACUGCGUUCUUGGCCCUGGUGAUUUUUCUGUACACUGAAAAAGGUGUAGGAAUGUAUGAGCAUUCUUCAGAGCAUCAUCUAAAUGUGUACCACAAUACAAAGGAAUUCAAAUCCGUUAGAGCGACAUAACCGCGGCAGUACUUUGACUGACAUGAUGUGCCUCCAAUGCGCCACUGCUCUGAUACUCACUUUAGCUCUGUGUGAUAGUAAUAGGAUUCCAUGACCCCAGACUGCAGUCUGAGCAUCUUUGUCUUCUAUACAAGUGAAUCAGCAUGAGAAGUCGAGAGACACCAGACCAUUGAUCUCAUUCAGAAGAGAGAAGGAGAGAUGCAACCGUCACGACCUUCAUUUGUUAGUCUGUGUUUAAAUGUGGAAGAGCUGCUGUCAGAAUAAUGUGCUUGACCACCCAGCAUGCCUUCCUCUCGCUCUUCCUUUAAAUGUCUCUCUGGAGCACGUACACAAACACACACACGUGAUGCAUCAUCAACGAGCGUGAGUGAUCUAUCUUAAAAGUAAAUAAGCACAGCACUUCCGUCACCUUAGGCUGAGAGAAGACAGCGCAGAGGUCAGAAGUAACUGUCAUAAAUUUUGUCUCUCAAAGUGUGUAUGUGUGUGUGAUUUGAUAGUCCCACAGCUGCAGGGCAGUAAUCCCAUAGCCAGUCUCAGAGGAAAAGCUUUAAAAUGCCACCCGGAUAGUGUUCAAUCAAACUCACUCACAUACACCCACAAUCCACCACUUGCCUGAUGACUCAAUGAUACUUAAAGAAGAUGCAAUAGUAAUUUACCAAUAAAGAAGCCUUUAAUCUGUAC
rnacentral:lncRNA from 1 species